AUUUCUAAAACUACUCUCUAAAAUUACUCACAGACCCUUCCACUGUUGUCCAAUAUCAAAAUCUAAUGGACAAAUUAAAGAAAUUUUGACCCAGAACCCAAGGUCCUUCACAUUUAUGCAAUUGAAUCACUUUGCUUAAACAGCUCUAGUCACACCUUCCUGCAUGUGACUUGCACAGCUUCCUUUAACACUUCCUGUAAACACUCAUCUAAUGUUUAGACUUCC